CACAGCAACUGCCUUCCUUUGGGAACACUUCUUCUUUUAAAAGGAAAUCUGCUCAAAAUGCAUGGAAUUUCAGCAGAAAAUACCAAAAGGAAACAGCCAUUUCUAUUUCCUGCCAUCACAGGUGAUCUUAACCAGCAAGCCUUGAAGAGUUGAAGGAGCCAUCUUAUGUAUUGGGUGACUAUAUACAUGGCUGGGAAAGAAUGCGGAUAUCUGGCGGUCAAUCACCAGCCAACAAUCCUCUGUGGCAGUUUCCCUCAUUCUCAAUAUCCCAACUGGCACCUGCUGGAAUGAAGAGAGGAAACUGAUCAGUCUCCCCUGCAGCAAAGAAGAGGGAGCCUUACCCAGAGAGGACACAUUCUCAUAAUUCUCCUCCAUGACUUCCCUGUGCAGGGCUCUUUGGUCUUGAUCCAACAGAGCCCACUCCUCCUCCGUGAAAUGCACAGCCACCUCCUCAAAGGUCACCAGAGCCUGGAAGAAGAAGAAAACAUUACCUCCUUCACAAAACACACACUGAUCCUUUCCCUUCCAAGCACAUGCCAAAUGGGCAGUUAAUGUACGUUGGGAGAUGAAUGGCAGGAAAGAUUCCCCUGCAGUGUCAUUAAUCCUAUUUAUAUACUACUUUUCACAAAAAUCUUCAAAGGGGUUUACGUAGCAAAUAAAAAGAAAUGGAGAGGGAAGGUGCUUUGUUUCAAAGGUGCUCCAAAUUGUUUCAAAAAUAGCACAUAAAAAUAGACACCAGGGAGACACCAGGAACUGACUCUAGAAAACACACUAUCCUUCAACGGCCAAUUGCCAUCCUCCAUAGCCCUCCCAGCCAGAAGUUUUGUUUGUUUGUUUUUUAAUUCCGGCAGAAGCCAAAGGAGAGAUGCUUUCACACUCAGGGGAAUAUGGGACAGAAAACGGUGAUCUCUUCAUUCCCUGUCCUCCUCCUCGGCCAGCGAUC